ACCGAGAGAGAGAAACUCCUCUACACACCUCCCUAGCAUUGACUGUGAUUAAUUCUAAUAAAUUCAUACCCCUUUUUCCAAGUGGACUACAUCUAAUGACUUAGUGAAAAUUUUAGAGACACAUGUCAUGACAUCUUGUCUCAUAUUACACUUCUUCAACAUCUGCUUCAUCCAAAUCCAAAGUAAUUGCUUACCACUGCUCCAUGCAGUAAUGUAUUCAGCUUCAUCAAAAGACAAGGUUACAAGGAUCUCUAACAAGGAAAGGGAUACUAUAAUGCAACGAAAACUCGUCCAAAAAUAUCACUCUAAAGCCUAAUCCGUGUUCAAUUUAAGCAUUCAAACCAUCCACACAGAGAUCAAUCAAAACCCCCAAAUAGAAAACCCUAGAUCUAAACCUCAAAAUAUCAAUUCCAAACAGCAGAUUCGUGCAAUUAAACAAGUUACAAGGAUCACUACCAAGGAAAAGGCUUUUAUAAUGCAACGAAAAACAUAUCGAGAAGUCCUCGCUAGAGCUCUGUAAUUCCGGCGAGAGGAAAUUACCUUAGGAGAGAAAGUUGAUGGUGGAUACAUGAUGAUGGUGAAUGCAUAGGGCGUGUGGUCCCAACAACAUGGAGCUCUUUUUUUUUUUGUAAUAUUUGGAUCUAAAUGAAAAUACUAACUUUAUUCUACUUUUUUUUUGUAUUUUGUAAAAUAAAAUGUAAAAUGAAAACUCUUUUUGUAUUACUCCUUCUUUUGUAAAAUAUGUAAAUAAAAACAAUUUUAUUCUAAUUUUUGUAUUAUCAUUUGGACAAAUAAUAUGCAAUAAAAACAACUUAAACUUUGUA